ensembl:misc_RNA Metazoa_SRP Metazoan signal recognition particle RNA
GCUGGGCAUGGUGGCGCGUGCCUGUGGUCCCAGCUACUCGGGAGGCUGAGGUGGGAGGAUCGCUUGAGCCCAGGAUUUCUGGGCUGUAGUGCACUAUGCCGAUCAGGUGUCCGCACCAAGUUCGGCAUCAAUAUGGUGACCUCCCAGGAGCAGGGGAACACCAGGUUGCCUCAAGAGGGGUGAACCAACCCCGGCUGGAAACGGAGCAGGUCAAAAUUCCCAUGCUCAUCAGUAGUGGCAUUGCGCCUGUGAACAGCCACUGCACUCCAGCCUGGGCAACAUGGUGAAACCUUGUCUUUA